GAUGAUGAUUGUGUAAAAGUGUGUUAAAAAGAAAACCCACCAGAAUAACAGAGGUUUAUCUCUCUGGGCUUUAAACUGUCAAAUAUAUUGAGGUCUGGUUUUGGUGUUGGUAACAUACAGUGAUGUGAGAGGAGGAAUAGGUCGAGGGAGGAGCAACACUGUCAGAGCAGAGCAGAACAGAAAAGGACUCCUACUGUCAGAUGCAUUCAAUAUCUAAACCAGACAGGACACAGAUACUGUCUGUAAGAUGAUGUCACUGCAUUACUGUGUCAUUUUCCAGCUUCUUCUGACCAUACUAAAAGGUGUCAGCUGUGAAGAACUCACUCCAGAUAACGAUGAAGAGUUCAGUUUAGAAGGCAGCACUGUUACUCUGUCCUACAAAUACUCCAAAAAAGCUGAUAGCAACGAUCAUUUCUUCUGGUAUCGACAAUAUCCAGGAAAACCACCAGAGUUCCUCCUGUACAUCUCAGGGCUCAAUAUUACAAGACCAGCAGAGUCUCUAGAAUCAGACACAAAGUUCUCUACUAAACUGUCUGGAGAAAAACAUCUGGAUCUGCAGAUCUCCUCUGCUGCAGUGACAGACUCUGCUGUGUACUACUGUGCUGUGAGG